UGAGCAGGAGCAGAGGUGUCAUCAGUGGGAAGCUCUUCCCUGCAGAGCUGGAAUGGAGCCACGGUGUUAGCACUACUCACCCCCCUUCCAGAGCUGUUCUGCCUCAGUUCCAGCUAUGAACUGCAGGAAACCUCCCUUUUAAGAGGCAGGGCAAAUGGAUAAGUAGCUGUCUCCUCUGAGUAAUAUCAGUAGUGUUUGGGGGUUGUGAUUUUUUUCGUUAUGAAAUAGGAAAGGCCUGCUGGGGUCCCAGGAGUGGGGGAAAUGUUGCUUUAGGCAAAUCAUGGUUCUUUAACCUGUUUUAGGAGCAAAAGGUUGGCACAUUUACACACGUGAAUUCAUUCUUGUUUCUCUCUCAUACUGAGUGCCAGCACUGUCCUAUUAUCCUACAUCCUUACAGGCACCAUGGCCUUGCUUCCCAUUUCCCACUGAACAUUUCUCUGUGACUGACUGCAGGGAAGUCUGGCUGCAAAUGUUUAUCCAGAAGCAAUUCCUCCCUCUGUGGAGAGCUUUAAUUCCUUCCUGGAAACAGAUGGUGUUGUUUUGACCUUUGCCUUUCUGCCACAGUAGAUCCUUGUGCUGCAUUGAGUGAAAGGGUAUUUUAUGUCUUUUGAGCGUUUUUUUUUUUUUUCUCCUAAUCAUGGCCACACAAAACUCUUAGAGAAGUAUCAGCAUGUCAAAACCCAGUGUGGUGCUGUUUUUAAGAAAGCUGAGUUCCAAAUUUAAUUUGAAUUACUUAUAUUAUGCUUUUAAUCUGCAAUAUAAUGACUAUCUGAGAGCAAUUAAGAGUAAUAAGCUUGUCCUCAGACCUUCUUUCUCCGAAGAUUGUUGUAGGCAAUAUAGAAACUAAAUACAGCGUUCCUCAAGUGGGCUUUGAAAAGCCACAGAUCAUCUUCUGAUGAUAAAUCUGCAUUUCAGUUGUUCAUUAGUCUUAUAUUAUAUAAGUGACAGCAUAAAUUUAAUGCUGAUAAUCAAUUCCAUGUGCUGAAUAUUAAUAGGAAACUUUAGAGAUGGUGAUAUUACAGAAUUAAAAGGACUUCUACUCUGUUCUUUAUUAGUUAGUCAGUGUAAUUAGAGACUUCCCCUAGACUGCUGUCUGUGUACUAGGCUAAACCUAACAUAAAUUUGAGCAUUUACCCCUUCCUUCUUAAAAAAUGUAAUAAAAAUAAUCCAGCCUUAUCCUUAAGAAUAAUGCCAAGGCCUAAAUAAACCGAAACAAUUCUAAUUUUCUGACACAAAAUGUGAAAAUAGAGAACUUGAUAGACAUAAGUGCAUUUGUCAUGCCCAGGAAUGGCUCCAAGAAAAUGAAUUAAAACAACAACAAAUUCCCAAUAAGAUCAGAAGCACAAAGCCUGUGGCAAAAUUGCAGAAAAAAAAAAAAAGAUAGCAGAAAAAAAACCAAAAACAUUUAACUCCCCCCUGCUGAGCAAAAGUUAGGAAGUGAGUAAUUUUAAUAACAAUGUUGGUUCAAGGAAUUAGUAAUAGAAGCUGCAGGGCAAGUCCUGAGUGGAUAUGGGAAGUCCAGGAGUAGAAGAGAAGUUGUUUCACUGCCUGAGCAGAUGUGGGAGGUAACAGAGUCUCCCUGGGGAUGGUCUCUGUAGGUCUCUGGGACAGCAGGGAAGGGCAGGACCUCUCUCCCAACCCCCCUGUUUCCCUUUGCUGAUCUAAAGCACGGAAAGCUCCCAAAGUUUCCCAGCCUUUCUCAUGCAAUGAUCCCUGUGCCCAGAGCCAAUCCAAAGAAAAACAUAUUUGGUAUUAUAGAUACAGAUUUCUUUUCAUGCCAGUUCUAAUUGCAUUCUCUUUUCACCUCUCCCCAGCAAGAAUGGCCAUGUGCAUCUUUGUGCAGGUUCACAGAAUUCUACUAACUGUUUUUUUUUCUUUUUCUGACUUCUAGGCGAGGAUAUGCACAGCAAGAGCAACAGCAGUUGCUGAGACCUUCUCUUCUCAGACCAGAGGAGCUAAGUAUGGAGUCUGGAAUUGAUCCAGGGCAGGAAUACUAUGGGCAAGAUUACUACAGUUAUGAGCAUGGGUACGAGCUGCCGCAGUACGGGAGCCGCCGCCGGCUGCUGUCCCCGGCGGGGAUGUACGACGAGUACGGGGAGGUGGUGGUGGAGAGCGACGGUGGCUACUACUACAGUCCCCAUGGACCCACAGCUGAAGAGGUGAGAGGCUCU